rnacentral:snRNA from 20 species
AGCGGCAGAGGGCAGCACAAACAGACAACGCCCUCGCCUUUUACUAGGGCGUUCCGUGUGCUGCCCUCACAUCAAUGCCGCUUAGCCAAUUUUUCAGCCCUCAGCUUCGUCCUGAGAU